UGCAUCGGUCAGGUAAUCGCGUGCUCAAGCUUGCGCUUGCGCAAGCCCUGGCAUGAGGAAAGUCCGAACACCACAGGGCACCGUGUCCCGACAAUCUCGGGAGCCUCGCUUCGGCGGGGACGGCACGUGCAACAGAGAGCAGACCAGCCGAUGGCCCUGGCGUGGCCAGGGUACAGGUGAUGGGUGAAAGGGUGAGGUAAGAGCUCACCAGCGCGGCGGGUAACCGCAGCGGCUGGGCAAACCCCACGGGGUGUAAGACCAAACAGCGUUGCACCGGGCCUCCCGCGGAGGCGCCGGAUAGGCGGCCCGCUCAAGGGCAACGCGGGUAGGUUGCUUGAGGCGGUCGGCAACGGCCGCCCCAGAUAAAUGAUUACCGCCGUGGUGCAGGGCUGGCGAUACCCGUGCCACGGAACAGAAUUCGGCUUAUCGAUCGGCGCACAUC
rnacentral:RNase_P_RNA from 1 species